GACGAACGCUGGCGGCGUGCUUAACACAUGCAAGUCGAGCGGUAAGGCCCUUUCGGGGGUACACGAGCGGCGAACGGGUGAGUAACACGUGGGUGACCUGCCCUCAGCUCUGGGAUAAGCCCGGGAAACUGGGUCUAAUACCGGAUAUGACUCCAUGACGCAUGUUGUGGGGUGGAAAGCCUUGUGCGGCUGAGGAUGGGCCCGCGGCCUAUCAGCUUGUUGGUGGGGUGAUGGCCUACCAAGGCGACGACGGGUAGCCGGCCUGAGAGGGCGACCGGCCACACUGGGACUGAGACACGGCCCAGACUCCUACGGGAGGCAGCAGUGGGGAAUCUUGCGCAAUGGGCGAAAGCCUGACGCAGCGACGCCGCGUGAGGGAUGACGGCCUG
rnacentral:rRNA from 1 species